UACAGAGGGGGCAAGCGUUGUUCGGAAUUACUGGGCGUAAAGGGCGCGUAGGCGGCCCGCUAAGUCGAACGUGAAAUCCCCGGGCUCAACCCGGGAACUGCGUCCGAUACUGGCAGGCUUGAAUUCGGGAGAGGGAUGCGGAAUUCCAGGUGUAGCGGCUGAAAUGCGUAGAUAUCUGGGAGGAACCGACCGGUGGCGAAGGCGGCAUCCUGGACCGAGAUUGACGCUGAUGCGCGAAAGCCAGGGGAGCAAACGGG
rnacentral:rRNA from 1 species